rnacentral:rRNA from 1 species
GUGUCAGCCGCCGCGGUAAAACCAGCACCUCAAGUGGUCAGGAUGAUUAUUGGGCCUAAAGCAUCCGUAGCCGGCUCUGUUAGUUUUCGGUUAAAUCUAUAUGCUCAACAUAUAGGCUGCCGGGAAUACUACAAAGCUAGGAAGUGGGAGAGGUAGACGGUACUCCGUAGGAAGGGGUAAAAUCCUUUGAUCUAUGGAUGACCACCAGUGGCGAAGGCGGUCUACCAGAACAUGUUCGACGGUGAGGGAUGAAAGCUGGGGGAGCAAACCGGAUUAGAUACCCGGGUAGUCCCAGCUGUAAACUAUGCAAACUCAGUGAUGCAUUGGCUUGUGGCCAGUGCAGUGCCGCAGAGAAGUCGUUAAGUUUGCCGCCUGGGAAGUACGUACGCAAGUAUGAAACUUAAAGGAAUUGGCGGGGGAGCACCACAAGGGGUGAAGCCUGCGGUUCAAUUGGAGUCAACGCCAGAAAUCUUACCCGGAGAGACAGCAGGAUGAAGGUCAAGCUGAAGACUUUACCAGACAAGCUGAGAAGUGGUGCAUGGCCGUCGCCAGCUCGUGCCGUGAGGUGUCCUGUUAAGUCAGGUAACGAGCGAGAUCCUUGCCUCUAGUUGCCACCAUUACUCUCAGGAGUAGUGGGGCGAAUUAGCGGGGCUGCCGUAGUUAAUACGGAGGAAGGAGAGGGCCACGGCAGGUCAGUAUGCCCUGAAACUCUGGGGCCACACGCGGGCUGCAAUGGUAGUGACAAUGUGUUCCGAAUCCGAAAGGAGGAGGUAAUCCAAAAACGCUACCACAGUUAUGACUGAGGGCUGCAACUCGCCCUCACGAAUAUGGAAUCCCUAGUAACUGCGUGUCAUUAUCGCGCGGUGAAUACGUCCCUGCUCCUUGCACACACCGCCCGUC